ACGAACGCUGGCGGCGUGCCUAAUACAUGCAAGUCGAGCGGACAGAUGGGAGCUUGCUCCCUGAUGUUAGCGGCGGACGGGUGAGUAACACGUGGGUAACCUGCCUGUAAGACUGGGAUAACUCCGGGAAACCGGGGCUAAUACCGGAUGCUUGUUUGAACCGCAUGGUUCAAACAUAAAAGGUGGCUUCGGCUACCACUUACAGAUGGACCCGCGGCGCAUUAGCUAGUUGGUGAGGUAAUGGCUCACCAAGGCAACGAUGCGUAGCCGACCUGAGAGGGUGAUCGGCCACACUGGGAAUGAGACACGGCCCAGACUCCUACGGGAGGCAGCAGUAGGGAAUCUUCCGCAAUGGACGAAAGUCUGACGGAGCAACGCCGCGUGAGUGAUGAAGGUUUUCGGAUCGUAAAGCUCUGUUGUUAGGGAAGAACAAGUACCGUUCGAAUAGGGCGGUACCUUGACGGUACCUAACCAGAAAGCCACGGCUA
rnacentral:rRNA from 1 species